UACGUAGGGGGCUAGCGUUGUCCGGAAUCAUUGGGCGUAAAGAGCGUGUAGGCGGCCCGGUAAGUCCGCUGUGAAAGUCGGGGGCUCAACCCUCGAAAGCCGGUGGAUACUGUCGGGCUAGAGUGCGGAAGAGGCGAGUGGAAUUCCUGGUGUAGCGGUGAAAUGCGCAGAUAUCAGGAGGAACACCUGCGGCGAAGGCGGGUUGCUGGGCUGACACUGACGCUGAUGCGCGAAAGCCAGGGGAGCGAACGGG
rnacentral:rRNA from 1 species